GACGAACGCUGGCGGCUUGCUUAACACAUGCAAGUCGAGCGGUAAGGCCCUUUCGGGGGUACACGAGCGGCGAACGGGUGAGUAACACGUGGGUGACCUGCCCUCAGCUCUGGGAUAAGCCUGGGAAACCGGGUCUAAUACCGGAUAUGACUCCAUGACGCAUGUUGUGGGGUGGAAAGCCUUGUGCGGCUGAGGAUGGGCCCGCGGCCUAUCAGCUUGUUGGUGGGGUGAUGGCCUACCAAGGCGACGACGGGUAGCCGGCCUGAGAGGGCGACCGGCCACACUGGGACUGAGACACGGCCCAGACUCCUACGGGAGGCAGCAGUGGGGAAUCUUGCGCAAUGGGCGAAAGCCUGACGCAGCGACGCCGCGUGAGGGAUGAC
rnacentral:rRNA from 1 species